UACGUAGGGCGCAAGCGUUAUCCGGAUUUACUGGGUUUAAAGGGUGCGUAGGCGGCAUUGUAAGUCUGUGAUGAAAUGGGGGAGCUUAACUCGACCCGCCGUUGCGGAAACUGCAAAGCUAGAGUGCGGCAGAGGCGACCGGAAUGAGUGGUGUAGCGGUGAAAUGCGUAGAGAUCACUCAGAACACCGAUAGCGAAGGCAAGUCGCCGGACCGUAACUGACGCUGAGGCACGAAAGCGUGGGUAGCAAACAGG
rnacentral:rRNA from 1 species